rnacentral:rRNA from 1 species
GACGAACGCUGGCGGCGUGCUUAACACAUGCAAGUCGAGCGGUAAGGCCUUUCGGGGUACACGAGCGGCGAACGGGUGAGUAACACGUGGGCGACCUGCCCUCCACUCUGGGAUAAGCCCGGGAAACUGGGUCUAAUACCGGAUAUGACCUUCCUCUGCAUGGGGGUUGGUGGAAAGUUUUUCGGUGGGGGAUGGGCCCGUGGCCUAUCAGCUUGUUGGUGGGGUGAUGGCCCACCAAGGCGACGACGGGUAGCCGGCCCGAGAGGGCGACCGGCCACACUGGGACUGAGACACGGCCCAGACUCCUACGGGAGGCAGCAGUGGGGAAUAUUGCGCAAUGGGCGGAAGCCUGACGCAGCGACGCCGCGUGGGGGAUGACGGCCUUCGGGUUGUAAACCUCUUUCGCCAGGGACGAAGCGUGAGUGACGGUACCUGGAUAAGAAGCACCGGCCAACUACGUGCCAGCCGCCGCCGUAAUAC